rnacentral:rRNA from 1 species
GAGUCUCCUGAAGGAACGUUGAAGACGACGACGUUGAUAGGUCGGGUGUGUAAGCGCAGCGAUGCGUUGAGCUAACCGAUACUAAUGAACCGUGAGGCUUAACCUU